GGGAGCAGAAGAGGAGCGUUAACCAGGCAGUUAUCUCGAGGGGCCUCACCCCGUAGACAGGUAACCAGGGGGAUUAACGCCGAGAUGACAGUCAUAAGGUAAUACUGUUGUCGGACGAUUGGGUUGAAUCCCGUCGGCUGUCACUUAACGAUACCCUUAAGGGUUUAUUUGGUUUAAGUGGAGAGCUUCUGGUAUU
rnacentral:ncRNA from 2 species